CAGGAGCCUGCAGUUAGGGAUGGGAUUGUGCUCACAGCUCUUCCCUCUCUUACAGCCUCUUGGUGUUUGCCAGGGGACCACAGCCUCAUUCCAGUGUCCUGUGACUGCUGCAUUGGGUUUGGGAAGUGACAGCACUUCAUUGGUGCUUUUCAGGAAUGGAAGAAGCCCUGAUUUGGUGAUGGUUCACCUCAACCCCAGCUCAAAGCUGUAACAAAGCAUCUGCUGGUGCCAGUGAUGGUUCAGAGAUCCCACCAAGGACAUCACCCAGCUUCACAUGGCCUGAAGGAUUUAUUUGCAGCAAGUUCACAAGGCUGAGAUUCAUCCAGUGGAUUGGAGAACUGAACGUUGCCGAGGUGCAGGAGGCCUGAUAACACCUGCAAUGCAAUCAGGGAGUUUUCAGGACAGCUCCCCCCAAGGCAGGCUCCCCUGAGCUCUCCUUU